rnacentral:rRNA from 1 species
CUCCAUACGGGAGGCAGCAGUGGGGAAUAUUGCACAAUGGGCGAAAGCCUGAUGCAGCCAUGCCGCGUGUGUGAAGAAGGCCUUCGGGUUGUAAAGCACUUUCAGUAGGGAGGAAAGGGUGUUACUUAAUACGUAAUAUCUGUGACGUUACCUACAGAAGAAGGACCGGCUAACUCCGUGCCAGCAGCCGCGGUAAUACGGAGGGUCCGAGCGUUAAUCGGAAUUACUGGGCGUAAAGCGUGCGCAGGCGGUUUGUUAAGCCAGAUGUGAAAUCCCCGGGCUCAACCUGGGAAUUGCAUUUGGAACUGGCGAACUAGAGUCUUGUAGAGGGGGGUAGAAUUCCAGGUGUAGCGGUGAAAUGCGUAGAGAUCUGGAGGAAUACCGGUGGCGAAGGCGGCCCCCUGGACAAAGACUGACGCUCAUGCACGAAAGCGUGGGGAGCAAACAGGAUUAGAUACCCUGGUAGUCCACGCCGUAAACGAUGUCUACUCGGAGUUUGGUGCCUUGAGCACUGGGCUCUCAAGCUAACGCAUUAAGUAKACCGCCUGGGGAGUACGGCCGCAAGGUUAAAACUCAAAUGAAUUGACGG